rnacentral:rRNA from 1 species
CCUACGGGCGGCAGCAGUGGGGAAUAUUGCACAAUGGGGGAAACCCUGAUGCAGCGACGCCGCGUGAGUGAAGAAGUAUUUCGGUAUGUAAAGCUCUAUCAGCAGGAACGAGACAAGACGGUACCUGACUAAGAAGCCCCGGCUAACUACGUGCCAGCAGCCGCGGUAAUACGUAGGGGGCAAGCGUUAUCCGGAAUCACUGGGUGGAAAGGGAGCGUAGACGGCUGUGCAAGCCUGAAGUGAAAGGCGGGGGCCCAACCCCUGGACUGCUUUGGGAACUGUACGGCUGGAGUGCAGGAGAGGUAAGUGGAAUUCCUAGUGUAGCGGUGAAAUGCGUAGAUAUUAGGAGGAACACCAGUGGCGAAGGCGGCUUACUGGACUGUAACUGACGUUGAGGCUCGAAAGCGUGGGGAGCAAACAGGAUUAGAUACCCCUGUAGUC